CGCCGCCGCCCUGGCCGCCGCCUCUCUGCCUGUGCUCCCUCUCCUGAAUGUGUCCUUUACUUCUCCCUGGGUGCCCCCCACUCCGAACUGACCCUCCCGAAUGGCACUACAAGAUACUUUGUAGCAGAGGAGAUGCGAUGAGGUUUUUGGUGGGUUUCCUAAUUGAAGGGCUUGGAGCCUGGGCUUCCACUUCUCUUUGUAAAUAGCAUCUCCAGCUAGAAGAGAAAAGCCCCGACCCCAGGCCCGGUGGGCAGGGGUCAGUGGCCCCAGACAUGGAGGGAUGAACAGGUGGCCUUGGGGCCCGUGGGGGCCUGCUGCCCCCUGGUGGCUGCUUCUGGUAGCGUUGCUGCCAAGCACAGCGUGAUCCUGCCCCAUCCUCCCAGGGGCGAGGGCUGUAAGAGCUCCCUUGUUUCAACAGGUGCCUGGUAGUUGGGGCACAAAACCAUGGGAGCCGCAUGCCAGCUGUGAAUAAAGUGCCCUUUGCUUAGCAGCACAGGGACUCCCAGAGAUGCCGUGGUGGCCUUUGGAGGCCUGCUAAAGCAGGCACCCCACCCAUCCGGUAUUGAAACCCUCCAGCUUUGGGCCAGACCCAGGAGCCGACUUGGCUGUGCUCUCUGAUGUAGCCCUUCCUGGGGGGUGGGGCAGGCAGGCAGGGGCUACGUUCCUCCAUCUGUGAUUAUGGCGCAUGAAUUCCGAGGGCUGCUCUGCAAACCCCAGCUUCCGGGGGUGCCAGCCAGCCCCCAGAGCCCCUUGUGCCUCCCACCCCCUGCCUUGCUGUGGCGAGGUCCAGGGGGCUGGGUAGGAGUGGGCCAGCCCCCCGGAAGGACCCUCUCUUGGCCCCCUCCCCUCGGGGGGAGGGCUUUGAGACAGGCUGUGGAGUCAGCUCCGUCCCUUACGAGUCGUGUGUUUGGGGGCAUGUGGCUUCCUCUCUUGGCACCUCUGACAUCUGAAAACCCAGCAUACUCAUACCCCCCUGCCAGGCUGUCAGUAAGGGUCACAGGAGAUAGAAUGCUCCACACCAUGCCCGGGAGAGAGCCCAACCUCUGGAGGGCAUCUGGUUCCGUGUCCUGCCCUCCCCUCCCCUCCAGUGCAGCCAGAGAUGGGCUCCAAGGCCGGUCCUGCGGUGUGUCAGGCCGGGGCUGGGGGUGGGCCACAGCAGAGUGUGGGGGGGUGCCAGACCAGAGCCAGGAGCCACCUGCCUCCUGUGCUCCCUCAGGGACCCUGGCCUGAGGUCCUUGGCUCUACAGCAGCCUCAGAGCUGAAGACCCACGUCAACAGUCUCCAUGUGUGCAGGACACUCCCAGGUG
rnacentral:lncRNA from 1 species